rnacentral:lncRNA from 1 species
UUAAAAAAUAGAUUUAUAUUUUAUAAUCAGAAGAAGGUAACAAGAAUUUAAAAAGAACCCCAUGAACCUGGAACCCUAGCUCAUUUACCUGAUCCUACAACACAUAUUAUUUAGAUAAAUACAUGAUAUACCAGAGACAUGGUAUAACAAUUUUAACAAUCAAAAUUCAAUUUCUCUAUUUCCAGUUUAUAAUCUGUAAAGUUGCAUUUGUUUCAUAGUGUGUAUAGUGUUUAAAGUGUGUUUUUCUGUACAUUAUGAAUGUAUAAAUAACAUUCCAAUUAGGGUAAUGACAGUAUUUUCUGUCUUGUAUUUGUCUUAACUGCAACCAAGUCAUUAAAAGUAGAAAGCUCAAUAGCAGCUUUUUAGUAAUUCAAAGAGAAAAAGAAUUAACACUGAAGAUGCUAUUCCAAAUAUAAACUAUAUUUUAACCUUGUCCUAUUCUUUUCAUAUAAUCAGUCCAUGUAAGUAUUACUUUUAAUGUAUUGUUUAGAUAUAAAGUCAUUCUAAAACCGUACAUUGCCUUAUAGAAUAGUGGUAUUAUAGAAUGAUUUAACUAACCACUUAUGAAAAGAAAAACAGGAUUUUCAUUCAUUAAGUAUACAUGUGAUUAUGUACUUUUAAAUUUUAUAUGUAUUUAUUAUUAUAAUGAUACAGACUGAAAGUCCCUUAGCCCAAUCCCAGUGAGUCAAGUCCCAAUACUAAUUCAAUAAAGUUUCUCCACCUAACUACAUGUGGAACUUCCACCUGAAUAGAAAUAUUCUUAAUUUUCAAAUAGCCAAAAAUAGCAAUGAUUCUUCCCGGACAUGAUCUAAUGUAACCUUACAUUACAGUUCUGCAGUUAUUCUGAAUUCAAGCUAUCUAAUUUACCAAUUUGCAAGUGGAACAAGGUAACCACUGAUCACGUUAGGAAGAUUUAAAUUUUGAAUGUAGGCAUAUUGAUAAAAAAAAAAAAAAAAAAGAAAAGGUUGGACAUUUUACACCAAAUCAUAAUUUCCACAUUCAAGAGCAGAAAGAAAAGGCUGGGGAAGAAGAAAACUUUACCACUUUGCUUAUCGUACUGAACUUCUAUAACUUUGAGCCUAUCUGGUUUUCCAUGUAAUUUAGAGUAGAUCCGCUUAAACAACAUCCACGGGCGAUCGGCUACACCUUGAAUAAAGAUGAUUUCCUUUGAGUUGAACUAACACAUUUGGGAAGCAAUGGGGUCUGGAGAUGCAUGUAAUGCAAAUGCAGGCAGUUAUGUACCCUGGUGGCUUCCUCUGUCCUUUAUAAUCCCACUGGUCUUCUUUCAGCCCCUCCUACUGACUGUGCUGCAUAUGUCCCCCCAGGGCCUAUGCACCAGCUGCAGUCCCUGGAAAAUUCUUUCCCCACUCCUCACAUAGGCAGGAAAAAGGUGAAUGGUUAAACACUUGGGUGCUAGCACAGGCCCCUAGGUAGGAAUACUCUCAGUUUCCGGUUUCCCUCUGCCAACUGUGGUGAGGCACUAUUGUGCCAUCCUCCCUGGAAAUUUGGAGAGAUUAGAUACAUCAACACAGGUGAAACACUCAUCACAGUGCCUGGGGCAGUGUAAGAGAUCGAUAAAUAUUAGCUAUUAUUAUCAGUAAUGUCUUUUCUUUUUCUCUUGUUGCCCAGGCUAGAGUGCAAUGGCAUGAUCUUGGCUCACUGCAACCUCCGCCUCCUGAGUUCAAGCAAUUCUCCUGCCUCAGCCUCCCAAGUGGUGGGAUUACAGGCAUGCACCACCACACCUGGCUAAUUUUGUAUUUUUAGUAGAGACGGGGUUUCAUUCUGUUGGUCAGGCUAGUCUCAAACUCCUGACUUCAGGUGAUUCAACCGCCUCCCAAAGUGCUGGGAUUACAGGCGUGAGUCACUGCACCUGGCCAGUACUACCACUUUUAUUAUUCACCUAGUUAUAUCUGACUCAUGUUUCAGGGAAGCCUUCCCUAAACAUCCUGAUUAGGUGAAAUCCUCCCAUUAGAGGGCUCAUCACAGUGUUUACUCUUCCUUUGUAGCAUUCAUC